rnacentral:rRNA from 1 species
AACGAACGCUGGCGGCAUGCCUAACACAUGCAAGUCGAACGAGAUCUUCGGGUGUAGUGGCGCGCGGGUGCGUAACGCGUGGGAGUCUGCCCUUUGGUUCGGAAUAACAGUUGGAAACGACUGCUAAUACCGGAUGAUGACGAAAGUCCAAAGAUUUAUCGCCAGAGGAUGAGCCCGCGUAGGAUUAGCUAGUUGGUGUGGUAAAGGCGCACCAAGGCGACGAUCCUUAGCUGGUCUGAGAGGAUGAUCAGCCACACUGGGACUGAGACACGGCCCAGACUCCUACGGGAGGCAGCAGUGGGGAAUAUUGGACAAUGGGCGAAAGCCUGAUCCAGCAAUGCCGCGUGAGUGAUGAAGGCCUUAGGGUUGUAAAGCCCUUUCACCCGGGAUGAUAAUGACAGUACCGGGAGAAUAAGCUCCGGCUAACUCCGUGCCAGCCGCCGCAGUAA